CCAUUCUCGGAUCUUCUUGAUAGCCCUAACACCCGGGGCCCACCAGGGAUUAUCGUCGCUAUGACCUCUUGAUGAUCGAAUUCGCUCCCACCAGGCCAACCCGACGAAGGAAGAACGUCGGGAACUGAAGCAAGGGAAACAGAAGCAGCAGCGAGUGUCCGCGAGGAGAGGAUUGGAUGAUCGCUCAGGGAUUGAGUCAGGGUCUCUACGAGCCAUUUCUGGGUCUUCUGCACCCAU
rnacentral:misc_RNA from 1 species